GGGCCCGCACAAGCGGUGGAGCAUGUGGUUUAAUUCGAUAAUGAGCGAAGAACCUUACCAAGGUUAGACAUCUAGCUGCACGCCUCUAGAAACAGAGGAAGCUUUCGAAGGUGCUAGACAGGUGUUGCAUGGUUGUCGUCAGCUCGUGGCGUGAGCUGUUAGGUUAAGUCCUGCAACGAGCGCAACCCUUGCCCUGUGUUGUAUUUCUCACAGGGAACUGCCGGCAUAUAGUCGGAGGAAGGUGGGGAUGACGUCAAAUCAGCAUGGCCCUCGAUACCUUGGGCUACACGCAUGCUACAAUGGCUGGUACAAAGGGACCUGCAAAACCGUAAGGUCGAGCGAAUCCCAUCAAAGCCAGCCCCAGUUCGGAUCGAGGUCUGCAAUUCGACCUCGUGAAGUUGGAAUCGCUAGUAA
rnacentral:rRNA from 1 species